GGCAGGUUAGCUCAGUCGGUUAGAGCAUGGUGCUGAUAACACCAUGGACCAGGGUUCAAUCCCUGUACCUGCCA